rnacentral:lncRNA from 1 species
CUGCAUUAAUUUUCUUAGGAUAAUGGCCUCCAGCUUCAUCCAUAUUGCUGCAAAAAAAUGUGAUUUUAAUGUUUUUUAUGGCUGAGUAUACUUUCAGUCCAAUUAGAUUAUUUCCUUUCUGCAAGAAUCAUUGUCCAUUUUUAACAUUCAGUUGAGUCUAGGAAACUUGCAUAAUUUUUAUUCCACAUUUUUCUUCUUGAAAAAAAGACUUGGACUUUCUAAUUCCAUCUUAGCCUAGUGGAUAGAGUAAAUACUCCGGAAAUAAAAAGUGCCAGACAAGGGUCUUUAGUAGAAUGAGGAGCAUGGCACAGAGAGAACCUUCUUCAAUGAUGCUACAAAUCUUCAGUAAAAACUCCCAUGUGCGCUCCCGCACACACAAACACACAAACACACACACUCUUACUUAUUUGGAUUUCUUGUUAAAGAUUAUUAUUUUGUAGCUAGAUAAUAAUGGAACAAAACAGUCAGUGUGUGUGGUGGAGAGAACUGAUUGUAUCUGUAAUGCAUGAGCGUUAACUAGAGUCAUUCAUGUACAAAGGUUAAAAACGAUGUGGUAUACAGGCAAAGGAGGAUAUGUGCAUUUUCACUGGAUCUUGUUGUUUGGGCACCUGAGACAAGCUGGCAGUCACUAAAUCUCAGCGAUCACUCAAUGUGUGCCAGGCAUUCGCACACAAUAUCACUAACACCCAUGACAGUCCUUCAAGAGAGGUUCUGCUGUCUGAGAGAUUAUGUGACACGCCUAAGGUCACAGGAUCAGCAAAUACUAGGGCUGAGAUUUAAACCCAGAACUGUCUACUGCCAAAGCUUUUGCGCUCUCCCUCGUGCCACGUUGCUUCUCAUUUUGGGCUUGGUCUCCACUUCCCAGUCCUUGAAGGAGUUCUCCAGGUCUGCCCCAUUAGCACUGCAUCUCAGAAGGAAGCUGCAGCUGCGCCGCCAAUCUCCCGGUGGUAGGUGCUUAAUAAACAUUAUGAAGUGCAUGAACAAAUGAAUAGCCCCUGAUGGACAGACAUGCUUGAGAAACACUAUUUUUCACAUUCCUAUCUACACUCAAGAUUUUACCUAUGAUAGCAGGCUGAAGAUUCCCAGGAUCUUACAUCCUAGCAGGCAAUGCCUCUGCAUCCUCAUCAGCGAAACCGGAUUGAUCUUGCCUGCUUCCCUGGCUUUGAUGGAUGCAACAGAAGAAUAUAUGCAGAAGUCCCUAAUGCAGUGCCUGAUGCAUGAUAAAUGCUCAAAUAUAACAGACAGAAAAUCUGUGUAUGUUGUAUAAGCCCUGCAGUGUGUGGUACUUUGCUUCAACAGCCAAAGCAAAUGAAUACAGCCUCCAUGGUAGGCAAUGGGACAAGGAUUCAGCAUUCAGGAUCCUACCUGUGUCUUCUUCAGGAGGUAUGUAAACCAAUAUCCCUCUCUCAGCUCCAGUAGUUGUACACAGGGACCUCUUUUCCUUCUCCCCUGCCUCUGCCCCUGGGAGGAUGGUUGAAAUAAUAUUAUGUUCCUCCUUGUUCCUUAUCCCUUAAAUUGGGUCAGAUCUCCCAGACUCCACCCCGAGGUGUGCCCUGUUCAGAGUGGUACAUACCUCAGUGGUUCAAAUCCUGAGUUCUGGGGUCAGACAGGCCUGAAUCCUUACCUUGGCCCAUCUACAUUCCAGCCAAAUGACUUUGAACAGGUAACUCAACCGCUCUCUACCUCCAUUUCCAGAAUGGUAGAAACUGUUGCAUGGAUUUGUUCUGAGGCUGCACAGCCCCGUGUCUGGCUCAUAGCUAGUGCUCAUUAAAUGUUUGUCUAACAAAUGUCUCUACAGGCAGUGACUCUUCUGCUCAACCACCUCUGAUUCCUUCCCCAUGCUCUCAUUUCCCCUAUCCAAGAGUGUGGCUCAGUCUCUGGUUUUAGGAUCUGCUUUUGGAACUUUUUUUUUCUUUGAGACAGAGUCUUGCUCUGUCACCCAGGCUAGAGUGCAG